CUUUACAGGUGCUUAGAUGUGUGUAUGUGCUAUGUAACAGUCAGUGAACGCGAGUGAACACUUUUAAUUUUUAUUGCUUCAAAUGGGCGUAGCGGGCACUUGCUAUUCGUUGACAUUUUGCAAUGAAACGGUGUUUGAAAAAAGAAAGAGAGAAAGAAAACGCAUCGCACGCUUAUCGCGGCUUGCCGCUUGACAUAUUGUGAUUGGCCAGUGGUUCCACAUGAGGGUAUUUACGUGGUGCGUGAGCGCGAGUUGCUCGAGCAGCUCGAGCGCGAGCCACGUUCGACGUUCGCAUUUGGAACCCGGUUGUCGUGCGGUAUCGGCUAGAAGCUUCGAUUCUUCCUUCAGAGGCCGACGAAGCUCAGGACGAGAUGUCAACUGUCGCUGCAAAGCGUGAAAGGAGAAAGAAACCCAAGCCUAAGCUUUCGUUUGGCUCCUCAAGUGGUGCUUCCGGUAACCUGCCUUCCAAUAUGCAAGCAAACCUGCCAGAAUUGUUUGCACUUCUUAAGAUGCAACAAGUGCAAGGCGAUGACCCUCCGUGCGAAGUUAAUGGCAACGUGACGGGGUGGUCUGCUCACAAGCGCUCGCUGAAAGAUGAUCUCCUGAUGUAUUCUGGAACGACGCCAAAUGUUCCCAACAGCACUCGGUCAUCACCGGACAGCACCACAGUUUCGGCCGGUGUGGAAGAAGGAACAGUGGAGGAAGAGGUGGAGCCUGAGCCUCUGACUGAAGCAGAUGUAACUGAUAUCGUGAGGCAACUGCGAGAAGUCCUGCAGGAGAACGGCCCAUCACAGGAGGACGACCUGCUGAAGGCCCUGGCACCUGAGCAGGCUUGCCGGGUGCUGGCCACGUAUGACACGUUAACUGCCUUCCUGGACCGGCACCCGGGAUUCCGACAGCUCCACGAGGACCUGCACUCAUUCAUCUACUACCAGGACCCUGACGAUGAUGACGACGACGACUGCUACUGUCCCACUGUUCCACUUUACAACGGAGUCCCUGCACUGAAUGCUGGUGCCGAACACCAGCUGCACUCCCUGGUCACCGGUGACAGCGGACCCCGAAGUGUGCGAAGCUCAUGCAGCAGCACUUCAUACGAGUCUGCUAUGGAGGAGGAGGAGGACUAUGAGAAAGGAAAAGGCAAGAAGUAUGGCCGCAAGGACGGCUCCAGCCAGACACCCUCACGGCCUCGUUGCCAGUCACGAGCCCUGCAGGCAGUGCAGCUAACGUGCGAUGCCGAGGCCCAGACCCAAGGAUGGGACCCUGCCCAGUUCGCUGAGAUGGAGCUGCUGCUGAGGAAGCGAAACACUGAAAUCUCUCAACUACAAGAAAGGCUGGCAUCUGUGCAGGAAGAGCAUGCCCGCGAGAUGCAGCAGCUUCGUCUCAAAAUUGAGGAGCUGCAGAAGAGGCCACUAGUACCGCAAACACCACCGCCACAAAAUGAGCAUUCGACACUUGCGCAGGCGAACCAGGAGUUGAGGAGUAGCUGCUCCACUUCGGAUGAGGAGGAAGACGAGAGGCCUCGGGGAGUGGCCACCAUGAACGGGGAGGCUGAAGAGGAGGAAGAAGGGCAUGGCUGGCCUCAGGCACAGUCGCCUGCUGUGCGCCGUUCUCCACUUGCUCGUGCAGAGCCCGACGAAAAGCUGCAUGCACUUUCCAUCGAGCCCAAGCCUAAGCCAGCGCCCCCAGCUGAGCAGAAAGUCAAGAGGCCGGCAGAGCGGCCUCAGGUUCCCGAGUUCUAUGACCUCCACUGGCGCAUGGAGCAGGCUGCUGCUCCAUGCUCGGAUGUUGAGUCCAUGUGGUCCAGCCGGGGAGGAUCGCCUACGAAAAGCAAGACGGAGAUGCAGAUUGCAAAAAUAGUACACAUGGUUAAAAAGAAGCAGCCGGACUAUGCAGAGCAAGAGAUCCGCAGGCAUGUGGACUACCUGCGAAAGAUCCAGGGUGGGUUCUCCCGCAUGACCUUCAACUCCAUUGUAGCCCUUGUGCUUGGCCACAUGAAGAGCAACGCAGAGUGAGUGCGUGUGACAUCACUGCAGCCAGAGAUCUUGCAUUGACCUGUCUUCCUCUGACUGUGGUUUCAAAAGGAAAUAAGCACUGAAAGAGGAUUCUGCCCGUGAAGACAGCACCUCCACAUGCUGCAGCUCCAUCAAGGACACUGCACGUGGCCAUGCCCUUUAUUUUUUUUAAACUUUUUUUUUGCUUUUGUACUUUCAUUUGUUUUAAGCUAAACCUGUUUCUUUUUUCUGUUAACUUCUUUCUUUUGUAUUGUAAAAAAGAGGUGACUGCGCGGGUGGGCAGUCUUAUGCUUGAUGUACAGAACUUCCCGUUAAAUUUUUUUUUUUUUCGCCUGCCAUUCAUCAAGCAGGCAAACAUUAGUUAAGUUUCUACUGUACAGUGAUGCCAUGAACAUGUGGCACGUGUAAUGUUCUCUGGUGCUCUCUCACUCCAUCUGUGGGCACACCUGAAAAACAGGUGCGCCAUGCUCGUGCCUUGCAGUGCCAAUGCUCCCCUUGGCAGCCCGGUACUUCUCGCCAGUGUGUUCCAAGAAGCCUCUCGCCCCUCCUCGCCAGUGAUCUCAACAACGAACUGGUCUCGCAACAUUUUUUUUUUUGCCCCAUGCGAUCCUUUGCCACGUGCACAGGCAUGUGGCAAAGUAUUAGUAUGUUAGAAAUGGCUACGCUUCACCUGGCCUGACCUUGCCGCAGAAGGGAGCGUGCAGGUUUUGAUUGAUAUUGUUAAAAAGAAAAACAAAGAAAAUAAACACUUGUGUAAGAUACUUUUGUUUGGCCUUGCUUAGCUGAGGGCCAUCGUAUUGUGCACAGGGGUUUGUGCAGUAUAUUCACAUUUUUUUGUGAUAUCUUUAUGAUAAAGGAAUGUGAUAAAUACCGGCCUUGUACAAUGCAAUUCACUUGUAAAGAGAACACUUUAAUUUGCAAGCGGUGCUUUAAUACAAGUGGUGCUCACGUAGUUUGGCUUCAAGUGCGAACUGAAGCUAUGUUGAUUCUCUGCUAAGGUGUCCAGGCAGGUGCUAGUGCCAACCACAGGUUUUGUGCUCAUCUCUAACAGGGGACUGCACUGUAUGUGGCCAUUUUGGGUUGAGUACAAUUGUACAUAAUGCUACGACUUUGGCAGUGGAAGUAUUGUGCCUGAACCUACAUGUUGCUAUGCCUAUAGUAUUUGGAAAAUGAUAGCAAUAAGUGCCUAGUCUUCCAUAUGUAGGGUCCUUCGUUUUUGGGUAAGACCCAAUACUAUUUUCUCGAAACUGCACUUUACGUGGGCAUUUGGGUUUCAUCCUACAAGUGUAUGUUAUGGGUCAACUUUUGCAAUGAGAAAGUAUUGUGAUUGAAACUGCAUGGGGCUAUGUGUAUAUCGUGAUCGGAAAAUGAUGCAAGUGCCUAGUUGGGCCCUUCGUUUUUAGGUAAAACCUAAUAAUAGUAUUUUUUCAAACCCUGAAUAAUUUUUGCCUCUGUAAAAGGCAAGAAUAAAUGCAGGUUGCAAAACACUACAUUGCAUGCCUUGUGUGAAGAAGUGGUCAAGAUAUCAUUCAUGAAUGUGAUACAUGCUUUCUUUAUGCUUAACACUCAACAAAAACUGGAUAUAUAUAUAUAUAUAUAUAUAUAUAUAUAUAUAUAUAUAUAUAUAUAUAUAUAUAUAUAUGUAUUAAGCGCCUGCCAGCCUUGAGUGAAGCAAAGCUUGUUGCACUUUAGUAGUUGCUUUUACAUUAAUGCAAUGAUGGCGCACAGCAUUUUUGGUGCGUCAAGCAUGCAGAAUGGUAGCUGCCCUGUUGAAAGGAAGUUCUCUCAACUAAGGGUGCUAGAUUUGGUUGCAGGUAUUCCAUACAAAAAUAUUUUCUUGCUGUGGCUCGCAGCUUGAAACAGUAAACAGGAUAAUAGAAACGGACGAUAGGCCAUGCAGGUGCACAGGUGCUCAUGCACGUUAACAUUAUUUAUCAUAUGUUCCUAUUGGCGAUUUUGCAUUAGUGUUCAAAGACAGCCAGUUGCUUGUGUUGGGCUGCCAAAAGCUAUUUGGAAAUAACUGCCCUUCGCAUCUAUAGGCUAGUGUCACUGUUAAAAAGUGCACCUGAUCAGCUUCAGUGUGUCGGAUCAAUCAUAGGAGCAGGCUGAUUUUUUACCCUUGAAUUUCAACCAUCAAUCCCAAGAAUGGACCCUGUGUAUACAUGCUUUGGAAUAGUGCCUGGGUGGAUUUCUUCCUCUACAUUGGUUGAACUGUUUAAUAAACAUUUUUCCUAUUGUCGUUAUCUGGUAUUGCUGCUUGGCUGCUGCUCGCAACUUUCACUGUGGCAUGAAGGUUAACACAUUGUCAUUAUCCAACUGUAUAGCAAAGAAUGCGCUACCUGCAGCUGUCCUUGCAUCCAUAACUGCAGUGCCAGUGACCCACUCAGUGCUACGAAAAAUUUAGGAAAAGCGUAGCUGCGGUGAAGAAUAUGCUACCUGCAGGUGUCCUUGCAUCCAUAGCUGCAGUGCCAGUGACCUGUUUAGUGCUAUGAAAAAUGUGGGAAAAGCAUAGCUGUGGUGAAAGCUGGCCGGGUGAUAAUACAAGGAAGAGGGGCGAACAGAACACCUCGCACUGUAAAACUGGUAGGUCAUUUCUUGAGGCUAGGCUGUGAAAUGGUUAUUCUCUCCGUUAAAGGGCCCCUCACCAGGUUUGACCAUUUUGAGCUGACAAGGAAGGAAAUCAACUUUAUUCGAGGUCCUGCAGGCCACGAGAGCUUCGGGCUCUCUUGGAGUGGGCGUCUCCCACGACGGAACCAGGAGGUUGAGUUUCCUGGUGGUGGCGUGGACUUCGCUCCGGAUUGCUUCCUCAAGCUGACAAGCGCAGAGCAUACAUUGCGCGAUAAUGGUCGUGUCUGCAAAGUAUAUAUUGCAUCGCUACCCGCCUUGAGAAGAUAUCAAAUUUCAAACAGAGCGGCGUUUUUUUCUUGCGACCGCCGCGCACCAAACCGGAAGGUGACGUAGUCGUGCCCUUGCGUCUACGUGGUCGUGUCCGGAGUGUGACGUCGCUCGUGGUGACGCGGGACUUGAUCAGUUAUCUCUGCGAUCUGUUGCUUGAAUUGACGAAGUUUAGAGAAAUAAAACAAACUGAUUGUC